rnacentral:rRNA from 1 species
CCUACGGGAGGCAGCAGUGAGGAAUAUUGGUCAAUGGACGAGAGUCUGAACCAGCCAAGUAGCGUGAAGGAUGACUGCCCUAUGGGUUGUAAACUUCUUUUAUAUGAGAAUAAAAUGUUCCACGUGUGGGUUUUUGUAUGUACCAUAUGAAUAAGGAUCGGCUAACUCCGUGCCAGCAGCCGCGGUAAUACGGAGGAUCCGAGCGUUAUCCGGAUUUAUUGGGUUUAAAGGGAGCGUAGAUGGGUGGUUAAGUCAGUUGUGAAAGUUUGCGGCUCAACCGUAAAAUUGCAAUUGAUACUGGUAGUCUUGAGUACAGUUGAGGUAAGCGGAAUGCGUGGUGUAGCGGUGAAAUGCUUAGAGAUCACGAAGAACCCCGAUUGCGAAGGCAGCUUACUAAACUGUGACUGACAUUGAUGCUCGAAAGUGUGGGUAUCAAACAGGAUUAGAUACCCCUGUAGUC